rnacentral:rRNA from 1 species
GACGAACGCUGGCGGCGUGCUUAACACAUGCAAGUCGAACGGAAAGGCCCUGCUUUUGUGGGGUGCUCGAGUGGCGAACGGGUGAGUAACACGUGAGUAACCUGCCCUUGACUUUGGGAUAACUUCAGGAAACUGGGGCUAAUACCGGAUAGGAGCUCCUGCUGCAUGGUGGGGGUUGGAAAGUUUCGGCGGUUGGGGAUGGACUCGCGGCUUAUCAGCUUGUUGGUGGGGUAUUGGCUUACCAAGGCUUUGACGGGUAGCCGGCCUGAGAGGGUAACCGGCCACAUGGGGACUGAGAUACGGCCCAGACUCCUACGGGAGGCAGCAGUGGGGAAUAUUGCACAAUGGGCGGAAGCCUGAUGCAGCAACGCCGCGUGCGGGAUGACGGCCUUCGGGUUGUAAACCGCUUUCGCCUGUGACGAAGCGUGAGUGACGGUAAUGGGUAAAGAAGCACCGGCUAACUACGUG